rnacentral:lncRNA from 1 species
GUCACAUCAUAUCAACCUUUCAUUCUCCAGUUUGAUCUCUGCAAAAACUGGUUGGAUCAGUCCUGACCCUUAGGCUAUGUGAUUGGCAAAUCUGAUGAUACUCUGCAUGGAAUGUGAGAUUAGGCCCCAACAGGAGUCACUGUCCAAACCCCUAGGGCUCCGGACCAAGGUCAUGCCAUCUGCAGCAGAGAACCAAACACCACUUGUAAAGCAUUUCCUGGCAUGCCACUCAGCAGAGUGUCUGACCAUAGGACAUUAAGUGACCAUGUGGCCAUAACUGCCCAUUAUGAGUUUGGUGCUGUCAGACCCACUAGGUCAUAAGCCAUCCAUCAUAAGAUGGAAAUGGUAUAUCUGGAAUCAGGCUUGAGCAGGUCCAGAUGGCACAGAUAAGCUGCAGGGACAGGUGGCCCAGACCCACCUGCCAUCUACCACUGUUGCACGAAUAUUGGCCCCUGUGCCUCUCUUUCACCCACAUGCAAAUAUGGCCUCCUGGUGGGGGGUGUCUUUUGUCUAGCUGCUGGAGGAGGGAAAAACCCAUCUAUGCAUUGAUCAUGGAUAGGUUAGUUUGGAAUGUUGAUGCAAGCUGGAAAUGGACUUCUGCUGUACUUCAGCCCCACUCAAGGUGGCCCUGAAAGACACUGGGGAGAAGAAAUCCUCUUAGUAGAGUUUUGGAGGGUGCACCUGCUUAUUCACUUUGUGUGGAGAGAGAUGUGGCCUAAGGUAAAUAUAGACUCAUGGACAUUGGUGAAUAGCUUAGCUCGUUCUUCAGUAGCUUGGAAGGAGCAACAUUAGAAGAUUGUGGAAAAGUGGUGGCAUGGGGAAAAGUUGUAGAGCUAAACCUGUGUGAGUGGGCACAAAGUAUGAGACAUUAAUGACAGCCAGAAACCACUUCUUGUGGAAGAGGCAAUAAUAACCAAGUGGAUAGGAUGGGCAGGCAGCUGAAUGUCGGCCACCAUGCACUCAGAAAUAGAUAGUCAUGGAGUCAGAGAAGGAAGCCAUGCCUGUGCCCAGAAGCAUACAUUCCCUCUCAUCAAGGCUGACCUAGUUUUGCUGCUGUUGAAUGUAAGAACUGCCAGCAAUAGCGACUGGUGCUGAAUUCCUGGUAUAACACUGCUCCUGGAGGAGACCAACCAGCCACUACUGGGUGACAAGUUGGCUAAAUCGGGCCCCUUCCAACCUGGAAAGGGCGGCAUUUUCUCUUGACUUGGAUUGACAUGUAUUCCAGCCAUCAAUGGACUUGCCUUUCCUACCCUCAGUGCAGCAGCCUGUCCUGCUAACCAAGGAAUCACAGAUAGGGUGGUGGAGCAUCCUCUUGGAGGCACAGUGGAGCUGUCAUCUUGAAGAUGACACCCAUGAGGAGGGCCCAGUCUCCUCCAGAAUGCAAUAUGCACUCUAAUGGCUAUGGGAUGAGGCCAUGUUCCUGAAAGUUUUCCCUGAAGCUGUGCCUGGAUGGAGAGAGCUUAAAGUGGAAAGCAGUAGGUCUGAGCAGUCAAGGGGUGGACUGUAGUGCCUGCUGUUGGCACCUCACUGGCUGACUGGCCUGCACACCCAGCCUUUAGCCGCAGUGAGCAGCAGCUGCAGACUGCUCACAGCUACACCCUUCUCCUGAGAGUUUCCUGGAAAUGCCUGGAAGAUCUUCCCUCCCCACUGGCCCUCAGCUGGUGGCUUUGAUACAGGCUGGCAGCAGACAAACGAUGCAGGCAGGCAGUGAGACUCAGAUUGGGUCCUCCUGUCGGAACAGCUGGGAUAUGAUGUCCAUGCCCUCUCCCAGGACCCAGGUGGAACUUGAAUACUGAUUCAUCAUACUCACUUUUCAUUUGGAGAGUGAAUUUUGGACUGAAAUAAAGGGAGAUGUUCAGCCUCAGGUGUAGAAGCAGUGAGACAAUUUCCCACCACGGAGGAAGAUGAAGAGCAGGAGAGGAGAGGCUGGCGGCUCCCAGGAGCAGAUCACCUGCCCCCACUGCAAGGCCCCCGUGUGCUCAAUAAACUGACCCUUGCGCAGAGA